GGCCGGGAAAGGCGGAGGCUCCGGCAGCCCCGAGCCUCCGGAAUGCGCGGGGGAAGGGGGCAUCAGCCGCUCUCCGCGGCAGUGCCCCUGCGCUAAUACACCGGGAAACCUCUCCAGAGCUCGUUGCCACGUUGUUGAGGUGCUAAUGAUAAUUUCUACAGUAUUAUCUUCGCUAAUACCUCCAUUUACAUUCUUAUCCUGGAGAAAGAGAGGAAAAUUGAAGAGGUUAUGUCACCAAUGUGGUAGUGUACAAAAACUUUGCUCCAAAUCAGGAGGAGGGAAUAAAAACAUACGAAAAAUACACUUUUCCAUACGCUGACUUGCUGCAUGGGUAAACAUUGGAACAUGGAUUUAUCUUAACCAUUUUGAAAGUGAAAUGUCUUAUGUUUAUCCCAGAUGUUGAGGGCAUGAUCCUUGUGAUGUGAAUUCCUGAAGAAACCAGCACAAAAGAGAGGAAUAGAAGAAAGGGUGGUAUUGGAUGAUACCAGAGUUCCAACAAGGAGGGGGAACAGGGCAGGCAGGUACCAAAGCGAAGCAACUACAUGGUACAGCAAUGGGAGAGAACACAAGAUUAUAAUGUAUCAAAGCAGAGACAGAAAUGAUAUUGCCUGGGACAAUGACUUGGAUUCAUCAACUUCAGAUCCAGCAGACUCAAACUGGGAAGGAGACUUAUCCUCUUCUGAUGCGGAACACACCUCUGCCUAAAUCAAGGCGUCCUCCAAGAGGAACUCAGCGUGAGUCCCUGACAGACCAGGCAGCAGUCAGACACCAAGCAAUUAGGGACAAGGACUUUGGCUUGGCUGAAGAGCUGCUUUUAGCUUUGCCAGUCAGGGAUGCCAGAGAGGGUGUCAACUCACUGGAGCCACUAAAUCAUGGGGACACUAAAAAUGCUGCUUGUAAAAGCUCUGGUGUUGACUCAGUCAGUGGGAACUCCUGAAGGGACUUACACUGAAAUAAAGCAAGGGACAUCAGAGUCAUUUCUUACAUUUGUAGAUCACCUGAGAGAUGCCAUAGAGAGACAAUGUAAGGAUGACUUGGUACAUCUCUAUCUGAUCUUGCCUUUGUUAAUGCCAAUGAAGAAUGUAAACUAAUAAUUAGAGCUUUGCCUGAUCCACAGCCUUCUAUACAUCAAAUGAUUAAGGCUUGUAGAGAAAAAGAAAUCUCACAGUAUAUUACAAAAACUAUUACUGCUCUUAAGGUAACACAUAAAGCAGAAGUAAGAGAUGACACACUUGUAAAAGCCUUUGAAGUCCUCAACUCAGCACUACAGCAAAACAACAAGACAUCACAGGACAUUAAGAAUGACAAAAGACUGUGUUUCCAAUGUGGGAAGCCUGUACCCAUAUCAAAGUAUUGCCCAGUGCCAUCACAUUGAAAACCACCUCAUUGCUGCCCUAGAUGUAAGAAGGGGAGACAUUAUGUAAAUCAGUGCUGCUCUAAGCUAGAUGUAAAUGGAAAACCCCUGUCCAGCAUCUCUUCUGGGCUUCUUCAGUUCAGUUGCAGGGAAAGCAGUCAUCACCAAAGAGAACAACACCUAAUGUGCAGUCUAAUCCAUACAGAAAUCCAUUACAGUAUGGAGCACUAUCACAGUGGGGAGUAAAAAUAGAAAUGGAUUUUUAAUUGGAGUCAUUUAUUAUAGAUACAUCUGAGUUAAGUUAUAUUUUAGUAGUUUGUCAAUAUUAAGAUUAAUUUGUAUGCCUUAGUUUAAGUAUAGGCUAAGUAUUGCUCAGUUAAAUUGUUAUUUUAAGUUUGGUGAAGUGUUGGAGUCCAUGUUUCCAUGGAUCCCCCAGAGAGUGAGAAGUGCAGGAAUUGAAUUAAAACCUUUAGAAAAAUUAAAAUAUAUAAAGCCACACACACACACACAAAGAUUUAAGCCUCAGUUUUAAGCUUCAUGUACCCUAAGUGCCUAAUUGCUAGUAUAGAAGUACAGAGCUUCAGGCCUAGCGAUAGAGUUUAGACACAACAAAAAUAGAGUAGAGUACUGUUUAUAAUUUUUGGUAUGAAUUUUGUGCAAAUAAAAUAAAGCUCCUCACAUAUGCUAAGUUUUUAUGCAUAACAAGAUAGAAUUUUUAUGUUAGCAAGAUAGAGCUUUUGCACUGAUAGAUAUACUAUAUGUGUAGGUUUUUGAUACUAUUUUUCGUAGUUUUUCAUAGUUUUAUGAACUUUAAGAAUUGUACCUAGAUUGGGUAGUGUAUAGAUAAAGGCAUGAAUAUGCAUUUGUAACAUAUGGAUAAAAAGCCUCUGGGUUGGAAGUGGAGGUAUUGAUUGAUCAAUCCCAUCUAUCGAUCCAACCUCCAUCUUCUGCAGCCUGGGGAAUGAGGCUUGCCAGGGAGCUGAAAUGGGAUUCUGAAGAUACCAUCUAUUGUAGUCUUUGUUGCCUGGGAUUGGGGCCCCAGGGUCCCUUUCCCCUUUCUUUUCCCUUUGUGGCAUUUGCCCCAGAACUCUGUUUGGGGCUGCUGGGGCUUCUGUGUGGGUUUGGGACCCUGGGACCCCUUCCUGCCUCUGCAACCCCACAGCCAGGAACCCUGCUUGGGAUUAAUGAUCCCGGGACCCCUUCCUGCCUCUGCGACCCUGUAGCCAGGAACCAUGCUUGGGGUCAGGAGUUGGAGGUUGUUUUAUCCUAAGGCUGGAAUGUUAUGUUAAAUUCCAUGUUAAGACUACUGUUUAUUCUGGUAUUUUAUUUCUAAGACUUUAUGCUCACAACUGAUUGUAAGACUGCUCAUCUAGGACUCUCACACCUUCAGAUAUAUGCUUUCAUGUGAUAAACAACUUUGCAUAAGACUUGAAAACAUUCUUGGACCUUUAAGAUCUAUUAACCUGUAGAGAUGGCCUUGGCAGUUAAGUUUGGGCCUUGUUAAGUUUAGGUUACUUUUAAGUUUUGAUAAGUUCAAGUUUUAUAAAAUUUAGAUGAUAAUAAGUCUAUAUUCUAUUAAUUUAAGGUUUUAUUGCAUAUGGGUUUUUUUGGGGCGUUAUAAGUAUAUGGUAAUUUAGAAAGGUGUUAUUUCAACUUCCUAGGAUGAUUAGUAUUGAUAUAUUUGUUAUAUGAUGUGAAUUUGUUAGUUUUCCUUAUUUACAGUUGAUUUUUAAUAUGCUUUAAUAUCCUUCUUUUAAUUAUCCAAAGACACAUGUCAUUUCAAGAUCUUUCUUUUUAUUUUUUAACUGUCUAAGUAUUUUAUAACUGCUAUUGUUAAGAGUCUUAAACAACAACAACAACAACAACAAAAGUGUUAAGGAACAUCACUCCAGUUUAGAGCUUGAGUCCUGGCCAGACUCUUGACUCUAUCUGGAUGGAUGUUCUGCCAACAAAAGUUCAGAUGGUUUCUGCUUUAAAAAUAUAAAUUCAAGUUAUUGACAAUUUGACCCUAUAAAAUGACAGCUGAACUGAUUUUUGGAUUGGUCUUGAGCACCUUGCCUGAUAAAGGAUGUCUGGGUCCCCACUGAAAAAAGGUUCCAAAAGCUAUUUGCAGACUCUGAGAUGAUGGCACAGUAUUUUAGUAAUUUGAUUUCAUGUGUGUUAUCAUUGAUAAGUCAUUAAUUAUGCUUGCAUCUGAAAUAUUCUUAAUUAUUGUACCUGAAUUUUCCUGAUUUGUCAGUUCUUAAUAGAGUUAUGCAUUUGUUCAGAGUACCUGUGCACUUAUGUAAUAUUUGUAUUUCUAGAUAUCAAUCAUAAAUAUUGCCCAGUCUGCCAGCUGGUGCAACACACUGUAUCUACAGGAGCAGUCAACUCAUGAGAAUUUAAAUGUACAAAAAAUCCAUCUGUCAGUGCAUAUAUCUUUAAGUGCAAUUUUACACCAGUACACACAGGGAAAAAGGUUUUUUUAGUUUAGAAAUCCAGAAACAGGACAAAUUGACGGUACACUUUCUCAAUUAACCUGGGGUGAAGGGCUUGCUUGUGUUUCUGCAGAUUUGGAACCCAGGUGGAUUCCAGCAAAGAAUGUGAAAAAGACAUCAAGCACAGAAACGCGCUGACCACUCCAAGAACAGAGAAGCAUGCAGAUGUGGACUGUGCAGAGAUUCCAAUUUGCACCUGCUGUUGUGUGCUUCAGUCGCAGAAGACUGCGAACUUUGAGGAUUUUAAUGUGGGAAUCGGUAGUAUUGUAGAAUUUCUUUUAGUAGCUAUGGGGAUCAAUUGUAUGUUAUGCUUUCACCUUUUUGCUUUGCUUUUUUUAAUAGCACAGAUUUACCAGUUAGCCAACCUAAAACAAAUACAUAUGAUUAAUAAGGCUGUUAAGAGUCUACAUGCCUCAGUGAGGAGGGGGAGAUGUUGGAGACCAUGUUUCCAUGGAUUCUCCACAGAGAGAGAAAAGUACAGGAGUUGAAUUAAAGCCUUUAGAGAAAUUAGAAUAUAUAAAGCCACGUAUACAUAAAGUAGAGGUUUAAGCUUUAAUUUUAAGAAAAUACACUCCAAGUGCCUAACUGCUAGCAUAGAGUCUAGAGCUUCAGGCUUAGAGAUAUAACUUUAGACAUAACAAAAAUAUAGUGGAGUAUUGCUCAUAACUUUAGAUACAACUUCUACUCAAGUAAGAUAAAGUUUUUUAAGUUAAUAAGACAGAGUUUCUACAUUACUAAGACCUGUUUACAUUAACAGAUAUGCUAUAUGCGUAAGUUUUUGAUACAGUUUUUCAUAGUUUUACAAACUUUAAGAAUUAGACUUGGAUUGGGUAGCUUACAGAUAAAGAUAUGAAUAUGCAUUUAUGAUUUAUGGAUAAAAGGCCUCUGGAUUGGGAGUCAAGGUAUCAAUCGAUUGGUUUCUGAUCUAUUGAUCCAACCUCCACCUUCCACAGCCUGAGGCAAGAGCCCUGCCAGGGAGCCAAAACAGGAUUUAAAGGGUACUAUCUAUUGCAGUCCUUGCUGCUUGGGAUCAGGGUCCUGGGGUUCCCCUCUGCCUUUGCGGCACUUGCUGCCAGAACUCGGCUCAGGACCCUGGGACCCCUUCCUGCCACUGCGGCCCUGCUGCUGGGAACGCUGCCUGGGGACCGGAGCUGGAGCCGGAGGUUGCUUUGCUCCAAGGCUGGGAUUCUGUGCUAAAUUGCUGUUUACCCUGGUGUUUCAUCUUUCUGGGAUUUUAUGCUCAUAACUGUUGUAAAACCGCUUAUCCAGAACUCUUUUGCCUUCAGACCUAUGCAUUUAUGUAAUAAACAGCUCUGCAUAAACUUUAAA